rnacentral:lncRNA from 1 species
GUAUUUUCAAAUAUUAUGUGCAUGUAGGACUACAGAGUGCUGCUCCGGACACUGCAGCAUUUUCAAGAUCAGUCAUCAAAAAGCUGCUAUUUUUUCGGUGUUUGCCGAGUUCCAUCGCAUCACAAAUGUGAACCUACAAAACCAAUUCUACUGCGAGCUGGAUCGGUACACACCAAAAUUGAUCGCCUUGUACAGGCAGAAGGCCUCACGGUCUGGCAAGAGGGCAGAGACUCUGCGGCGGAUCCUAGGGAUUUAUGAUCUCCAGGACCAACGUGAUGUCCACAUGAGACGAACCCUGGCCCUCCAUGCACUCCCAGUGUACUUGCGCGAGGAUGACAGUGAGUUCUUCAAGACUUGCAAUGUAAGUACUCACACAAGCAUUAAC